GGGCAAGACAGCAGACAGACUUAUUACAAUAAUACUGUAUAUGUGAUUCUGCACAGCCAAGCUGACCAACCGAAUGACUGACUUCCAUCAGCAUUUUUCAUGACAAGGCAUCAAGUCUCACCUGUGCUCAUCAACAUCAAGCGUAAAUGGCCUUUAAGGGUGUUCUUCCAAACGAGGGAAUGACAAACCAAGCUGUGUGGUGCUUUGUAAGCAUCAAUGUUUUAUAUUGUGAUCAGUAUUGUGGCUAAUGCGUCAUUAUCAAUACCCGAGAUGUACCCAGUGAUCUUACUGCAUGAACACUUCCGCAUUCUCUAAUUCUGUGCUUAA